GAUGAACGCUGGCGGCGUGCCUAAUACAUGCCAGUCGAGCGAACGGACGAGAAGCUUGCUUUUCUGAUGUUAGCGGCGGACGGGUGAGUAACACGUGGAUAACCUACCUAUAAGACUGGGAUAACUUCGGGAAACCGGAGCUAAUACCGGAUAAUAUUUUGAACCGCAUGGUUCAUAAGUGAAAGACGGUCUUGCUGUCACUUAUAGAUGGAUCCGCGCUUCAUUAGCUAGUUGGUAAGGUAACGGCUUACCAAGGCAACGAUGCAUAGCCGACCUGAGAGGGUGAUCGGCCACACUGGAACUGAGACACGGUCCAGACUCCUACGGGAGGCAGCAGUAGGGAAUCUUCCGCAAUGGGCGAAAGCCUGACGGAGCAACGCCGCGUGAGUGAUGAAGGUCUUCGGAUCGUAAAACUCUGUUAUUAGGGAAGAACAUAUGUGUAAGUAACUGUGCACAUCUUGACGGUACCUAAUCAGAAAGCCACGGCUAACUACGUG
rnacentral:rRNA from 1 species